UACAGAGGGUGCAAGCGUUAAUCGGAAUUACUGGGCGUAAAGGGCGCGUAGGUGGUUACGUAAGUGAGAUGUGAAAGCCCCGGGCUUAACCUGGGAAUUGCAUCUUAUACUGCGUAGCUGGAGUGCAAUAGAGGGUAGUGGAAUUUCCGGUGUAGCGGUGAAAUGCGUAGAUAUCGGAAGGAACACCAGUGGCGAAGGCGGCUACCUGGAUUGACACUGACACUGAGGCGCGAGAGCGUGGGGAGCAAACAGG
rnacentral:rRNA from 1 species